GAAAUCUUAAAAGUGGAAUCUUGUGCCCCACAUAGAAAGAGAGGAAUGAGGAAAGGGGCAGAUUUUUGCCCUUUCAAGAGAGGGAUUUUUUAUUUGGAACCAUUUUUAUUUGUUUUUAAAGAAAAUUCAUGUAAUACUAAUAAGGGGUCGUUUGGAUACCUAGAAAUAUAUUGUCCAUGAAAUACAUUACUGGCGUAAUACGUUACUGCGUAAUAUAUACCUGCAAAUGGAUUGUAACUGUUUGGGUAGUAUUUAGAUGCAACCUGGAAAAUAUACUGUUACUGUUUGGCUAUAUCAAGAAAUAUGGGAAAUGCAUUAUCAACAUUUUUUUUUCUUUUUUGGCUUUAUACCCAAAACAUGGUUGAGCGUACAAUCCCUA
rnacentral:lncRNA from 1 species